rnacentral:rRNA from 1 species
AUGCAGCGGCUACUGCCUGACGAGCUGCAGCUUGGAGGUAGUACGACUCCGGUUCCGCGCUGGUACCGCCUCAACUCAAGACGUGGUUUUCUCGUGUCGGGUUCAGCGGCAGUAGGAGCGGCAGUAGGAGCGGUAGUACCGCUCGUGUGCGGUAGUACCGCGGCUACCACCGCCCCUAGUGCCGCUCAAUGGCCCUCCUCCCUGUUCCUUCUCCAUGUGCUCGUGGUAGGCGCUGUGCGCGGUCCCAGCGGUAGUACCGUUGUGCCAAGCGGCAGUACCGCCGCGACCUAUGGUAGUACCGCUGGCUCCAGCAGUAGUGCCGCUCAUACGGCUCUGCCUCGCCCUCUGUUUUGCUCCGCUCUUCGUGUUCUACCAUCCGGGCGGUAG